rnacentral:rRNA from 1 species
AUUGAACGCUGGCGGCAUGCCUAACACAUGCAAGUCGAGCGAGUGAAUCUCCUUCGGGAGUGAAGCUAGCGGCGGACGGGUGAGUAACACGUGGGCAACCUGCCUCAUAGAGGGGAAUAGCCUUCCGAAAGGAAGAUUAAUACCGCAUAAGAUUGUAGCUUCGCAUGAAGUAGCAAUUAAAGGAGCAAUCCGCUAUGAGAUGGGCCCGCGGCGCAUUAGCUAGUUGGUGAGGUAACGGCUCACCAAGGCGACGAUGCAUAGCCGACCUGAGCGGGUGGUCGGCCACAUUGGGACUGAGACACGGCCCAGACUCCUACGGGAGGCAGCAGUGGUGAAUAUUGCACAAUGGGGGAAACCCUGAUGCAGCAACGCCGCGUGAGUGAUGACGGCCUUCGGGUUGUGAAGCUCUGUCUUCAGGGACGAUAAUGACGGUACCUGAGGAGGAAGCCACGGCUAACUACGUGCCAGCAGCCGCGGUAACAC